UACGUAGGGUGCGAGCGUUAAUCGGAAUUACUGGGCGUAAAGCGUGCGCAGGCGGUUCGUUAAGUCAGCUGUGAAAGCCCCGGGCUCAACCUGGGAACGGCGGUUGAAACUGGCGAACUAGAAUCUGGCAGAGGGGGGUGGAAUUCCACGUGUAGCAGUGAAAUGCGUAGAGAUGUGGAGGAACACCGAUGGCGAAGGCAGCCCCCUGGGCUGACACUGACGCUCAGGCACGAAAGCGUGGGGAGCAAACAGG
rnacentral:rRNA from 1 species